UACGUAGGGCGCAAGCGUUAUCCGGAAUUAUUGGGCGUAAAGAGCUCGUAGGCGGUUUGUCGCGUCUGCCGUGAAAGUCCGGGGCUCAACUCCGGAUCUGCGGUGGGUACGGGCAGACUAGAGUGAUGUAGGGGAGACUGGAAUUCCUGGUGUAGCGGUGAAAUGCGCAGAUAUCAGGAGGAACACCCGUAGCGAAGGCGGCACUCUGGGCCGAUACUGACACUGAGGAGCGAAAGCGUGGGGAGCAAACAGG
rnacentral:rRNA from 1 species